rnacentral:rRNA from 1 species
CACAGAGGUGGCAAGCGUUGUUCGGAAUUACUGGGCGUAAAGGGCGCGUAGGCGGUUCGAUAAGUCCCGCGUGAAAUCCCCCGGCUCAACUGGGGAACUGCGCGGGAAACUGACGGACUCGAGUUCGGGAGAGGGAAGCGGAAUUCCGGGUGUAGCGGUGAAAUGCGUAGAUAUCCGGAGGAACACCGGUGGCGAAGGCGGCUUCCUGGACCGACACUGACGCUGAGGCGCGAAAGCUAGGGGAGCAAACGGG